rnacentral:rRNA from 1 species
AUUGAACGCUGGCGGCAGGCCUAACACAUGCAAGUCGAGCGAGCGUGGGACGGGUGAGUAAAGUAUGUGGGUCUGCCCGAGAGAGGGGGGUAACUACAGGAGACGGGAGCUAAUAUCCCGUACUAUCGCAGGAACCCACAUGGGGGUAGCUAGUAGGUGUGGGAAUGGCUCACCAAGGCGACGAUCCCUAGCUGGGCUGAGAGGAUGAUCAGCCACACUGGGACUGAGACACGGCCCAGACUCCUAUGGGAGGCAGCAGUGGGGAAUAUUGCACAAUGGGCGCAAGCCUGAUGCAGCCAUGCCGCGUGUAUGAAGAAGGCCUUCGGGUUGUAAAGUACUUUCAGUCGGGAGGCGUUACCGACAGAAGAAGCACCGGCUAACUCCGUGCCAGAAGCCGCGGUAAUUC